rnacentral:rRNA from 1 species
UUUGUUCCUGGCUCCAGGACGAAACGCUGGCGGCCGUGCUUACCCCCUGCAAUUCGAACGAAAGAAUUCAAACGGAUUUCUUUCGAAAUGAAGUUUGGAUGAUUUAGUGGCGAACGGGUGAGUAAACACGUGAGAAACUUGCCUUUCACAGAGGGAUAGCCGUUGGAAACGACGAUUAAUACCUCAUGACAUCAAGAUACCGCAUGGUAAUUUGAUUAAAGAUUUAUCGGUGAAAGAUGGUCUCGCGUCUGAUUAGCUAGUUGGUAAGGUAGUGGCUUACCAAGGCGACGAUCAGUAGCCGGCCUGAGAGGGUGAACGGCCACACUGGAACUGAGACACGGUCCAGACUCCUACGGGAGGCAGCAGUGGGGAAUUUUGCACAAUGGGGGAAACCCUGAUGCAGCGACGUCGCGUGAACGAUGAAGGCCUUCGGGUUGUAAAGUUCUGUCCUUGGCGAAGAUAAUGACAGUAGCCAAGAAGCAAGCCCCGGCUAAAUACGUGCCAGCAGCCGCGGUAAUACGUAUGGGGCGAGCGUUGUCCGGAAUUAUUGGGCGUAAAGGGUACGUAGGCGGUUAUGUGGGUCCGUAUUAAAAGGCAUUGGCUCAACCAAUGUUCGGUAUGGAAACUGCAUAACUUGAGUAGAUGAGGGGUAAGUGGAAUUCCUAGUGUAGCGGUGAAAUGCUUAGAUAUUAGGAGGAAUACCAGUGGCGAAGGCGACUUACUGGAAUCUAACUGACGCUGAGGUACGAAAGCGUGGGGAGCAAACAGGAUUAGAUACCCUGGUAGUCCACGCUGUAAACGAUGAGUGCUAGGUGUCGGGAGUCAAAUCUCGGCGCCGCCGCUAACGCAUAACACUCCGCCUGGAGACACCAGUGGAAA